rnacentral:rRNA from 1 species
UACGUAGGGACCAAGCGUUGUUCGGAUUUACUGGGCGUAAAGGGCGCGUAGGCGGCGUGGUAAGUCAAUUGUGAAAUCUCCGAGCUUAACUCGGAACGGUCAAUUGAUACUGCUGUGCUAGAGUACAGAAGGGGCAAUCGGAAUUCUUGGUGUAGCGGUGAAAUGCGUAGAUAUCAAGAGGAACACCUGAGGUGAAGACGGGUUGCUGGGCUGAUACUGACGCUGAUGCGCGAAAGCGUGGGGAGCAAACAGG